rnacentral:rRNA from 1 species
GCUCAAAUUUGAAAUCUUCAAGGGUUUCCCUUUACGAAUUGUAGUUUAAAGAAGUGUUUUCUGUUGAGGUUUUGGUAAAAGUUCUUUGGAAUAGGACAUCAUAGAGGGUGAGAAUCCCGUAUUUGACCUUUACUUUCAACUUUGUGAUACACUUUCAAAGAGUCGGAUUGUUUGGGAAUGCAGUCCAAAAUGGGUGGUAAAUUUCAUCUAAAGCUAAAUAUUGGCGAGAGACCGAUAGCGAACAAGUACCGUGAGGGAAAGAUGAAAAGAACUUUGAAAAGAGAGUUAAACAGUACGUGAAAUUGUCAAAAGGGAAGCGUUUGACACCAGUGUUGUUUUUCUGAAAGUCAAUUAAAGAACUGUUUAUGCUAAGCUGUUUAGACUUUAUCAGCUAUCUGUUUAGUUUUGAGCUUUUCUUUAAUGCACUUUUCAGUUAACAAG